UUAAUGCAGGAACAAAAAAAAACAAAUGCCACAAGUUCUCACAUGUGAGAAUUAAACGCUGGGUACACAUGGACAUAAAGAUAGGAAAAAUACACAUUAGAGACUACCAGAGCUGUGAAAAAGAGAGAGAAGAGGGGCUGAAAAACUACCUACUGGGUACUAUCCUCAUUACCCAAGUGGUGGGAUCAUUUGCACCCCAACCCUCAGCAUUAUGCAAUGUACCCAUAAACCUGCACAAGUACCCUGAUCUAAAAUGAAAGUUAAAAUUAUUUUUAAAAAAUAAAUGAAUUAAAAUAAAAGUAAGGUAGACAUCAUAAUUUCAUUUAUAAAUAUAGUUCAGAGGGUAUCACUUCAGGAAAAAAGGAAGACAUUCUUUAUUCACUACAAUAGCAAUUGUCACAAUUUGUUUUUUUUAAUGGAUAGAGGGGAGAGGAGCCAAGAUGGCUGAAGAGAAACAGCUGAGGUCUGCAGCUUCCAGCGAGACCAGGGUAGAAGACUAUGGAAAUGCUGUUAGACAAAAAGCAAAGUUGAGCAAUUUUCUCAUUCGAGUUCAAAAUGUGUCGUAAAGCAGUGGAGACAACUUGUAAUAUGAACAAUGCAUUUGGCCAAGGAAUUGCUAAUGAACGUACAAUGUAGUGGCGGUUCAAGAAGUUUUGCAAAGGAGACAAGAGCCUUGAAGAUGAGGAACAUAGUGGCUGGCCAUCGGAAGUCGACAAUGACCAAUUGAGAGCAAUCAUCAAAGCUGAUCCUCUUACAGCCACACCCAAUUCUUCUCCACAAUGCCCGACUGCACAUUGCACAACCAACGCUUCAAACGUUUAAUGAAUUGGGCUAUGAAGUUUUGCCUCAUCUGCCAUAUUCACUUGACCUCUCGCCACUGACUACCACGUCUUCAAGCAUCUCGACAGCUUUUUGCAGGGAAAAUGCAAAGGUCUUUCUUGAUUUUUUUUUGGCUUCA